UAACCAUCUACCAUUUUCUAAACCAUGUAUUAUGCAGCGGCAGUCGUGCAAUUAGAAAUCGCUUAGCCAGCAUCUAUCCAGCGUCUCAGGGCUGCCACUUACGAUUAACAAAGAGAUAAGUACGUGAGAACCAGUGGCCAUAUUUGAAAACGGCGCUUAAUAUGUCGAACAGGGUCACCUGUGACGCGUGGUGAAACGUUUUUGACUGUAUUUAGAUCGUCCAUCCUGGAAUGUCGAUAUCUCCAACAUAAGAAAAAAAAGUCUCGAGACGCGCACGGACUAGCUUAAUUAAAGCCGUGUUUCCAUGUAACGCGUGUUUUAAGGUCAGAUCGAAACUCGCGGCAGGAAAACGAGCACCGCGAAAAGGAUGUCACGAGGAUAUGUCAGAGUAGCAAGGUCGUUGUCAUCCGACAUCCCAGGUUGUUCACAUUCAAGGACCUUUCCACCAGCGUUUCAUCGCGCUUAUAGGACGAUGGUAUCGAUUCUAGCACGGGGAGCAAAGAACAUGUGAAACGUGACUACGUUGCGUGAGAUACUGUGAUACUCACUAGAUCCUAGUUACUUUCUCCCUACGCUAGUUACUUUUCAUCAAACACUAAAUGGAACUUCUAACAUCUACAUAAUAUACACUCGAUGUAAGAAGCACUCGUACAGCAGCUAAAUUUAACAACCUAAGGAUAACUUUCGAAAAGAAAAAGAAUGCGACAAAAUGUCGCUUCACUGGACAAAUAGAAAAAUAGAGAAACGCUAAUGUUAUCAAUGUCGUUCGCUUAAAAGUAAACUUAUGGCAGUAAAUCAGUUGCUUGUUUCAAAAGUUGAACGUUUACCGUGUAUCCAGAUAAUAAAGUUACGAAAUUUAUACGAAAAGUGGAAUCUUGAUCAGUUUGGUAAUCCGAUAUGUGUAAUAACCAGCCUCGAGAUCCUCGAGGACAGGAUUUCUGAAGCACGCAAAAUCGCGUGAGCAAAGAGGCUCCUCCUCGGUGCUCGUUGAAGAGUAACAACCAACCGGCUGGAAUAUUCAACAAAGUGGUUUCGAUGGACGUUUUGUGUCUCGCGCGUGGUAUCGCAUGCGCGCGCAUCUUCGCUCCAUCCUUUUGAACAACUCUUGCUGAAUUAUUGAUCGACGUUAAAAACAACGCUACAACAGAGAGGGGCCGUGUAGAAUUUUCGCGUACGCAUCCGUCAUCCUUUGUCGUUCGAUUAAUCAAAAUUUUCGUUGGUUAGCCAGGAUUCAUUAACGGGCGACGUUGCUCACCCAUUAAGAUCAGCCUGAAUACAAAUCGAUCUGUCCAGGGAUAACAACGUACACGUGAUUUAAUCGUAGCUGUUUAUCUCCAACAGCCGGUUACUACACAGUAUAGGUUAGGUUACCACACUCUCGAGUUUAGGUAUUUUUAAUAGAAAUUCUUGUAUUUUCUUGGCUGUCGAUUCUUCGGCCUCGCUUGUACAAUUUAAUUAAUAUUAUUACUUUUGUUACUAGAAAUUUGAAAUAAAUUUGAAAGCGAUAGAUUUUACAGAAUGCGU